CCAUGCUUAAUAUUUCAGAAGAUGCUUUCAGGGAAAUGGGAUUGCUGCUUAGUCCACGAAUAUGUUAUUUCUCCAGGUUUAGACAAUUGGGAGAUGUAGGAAGAACAUACAAGGCAACAAAUGUUUCUUUCUUUUAUAGACAUAUAAUGCUUCAUUAAAAGGACAGCAACAGUCACUGAGAAUCCCAUACAGCUCUUUCAGCCUAUGAGCAGAAGUGGAAUAUAUAGAGAGCAAGAUUUAAAGAAACAGAGACAGUUACUUGGAUCCAAAAUGGUUGUUCACACAAGGAGCCGGGUCUGCAUAAUUGUAUCACUAAUCAGCAGUAAGGCAAUUAGUUGUGUGAUUUCUCUCCCAGCUCCAAAUGAGAGACCUUUCUGUGCUCUGCCAAGACCUGUCAUCUGGGAACUCUGCUACCUAGAUCUACAAGAAAAUCAGAGCAUCUUGAUUUGAUCAACAAACGUGUUAUAUUUCUUACCUGGUAGAUAGGCUUUGGGGCUUAAACAUUCUGUAGGUAAGGUUUCAAGGAAUAGACCCAAACAUAGCAGUGAAUCCAAAAAGCCAGGAGGAUCAAGAUGGUACUGAAAAUAAAAAUGUAAGAAAGUAAACCUCCUGAGUGUGU
rnacentral:lncRNA from 1 species